GCCGGAGANCGAGANGGGCUUGGUGGUUGGCGNGGUAUCGAGAUUCCGCAGUGCCCCGGGCCCGGAAGGCUUAANCGCCAUGGAAGCGCAGCCUCCCUGCCNUUUGGGGGGAAGUUACCGGUGUCUGCAAAAGGGCGCUGNGAAAACGCCAAAAGGGAAGAUCGUGNAGAACCGGGGGGUGCCCCCCGGCCANCAAGAGCNCGGGGUUGGGGAUNCCAAAUGUGGGGUUGUCAAAAUGUUGCGGACGGCAAACGGUCGAAGAACNCUUAACCGCAGGCCUGUCGAAGCGGGCAGAGUGACAGUCCGNUGAAAGUGCGGCUUGCUCGCAAGGACACUUGUNCGAGGUGCUGCAUUGGCUGUCGUCAGCUCGUGUCGUGAGAUGUUGGGUGUAAGUGCCCGCAACGAGCGCAACCCUUUGUCCUCGUGUUGCCAUCACGUGUAUGGUGGGCACUCUGAGGAGACUGCCGGUGACAAACCGGAGGAAGGUGGGGAUGACGUCAAGUCCGCAUGGCCUUUAUGUCUGGGGCCACACACGUGCUACAAUGGCCGAUACAAAACCGUCGCGAUACCGCAAGGUGGAGCUAAUCGGAUAAAGUCGGUCUCAGUUCGGAUUGCAGGCUGCAACUCGCCUGCAUGAAGUUGGAAUCGCUAGUAAUCUGCGGAUCAGCACGCCGCGGUGAAUACGUUCCCGGGCCUUGUACACACCGCCCGUCACAUCGCGAAAGCUGGCUGUACUAGAAGUCGCUGCGCUAACCCGCAAGGGAGGCAGGCGCCUAAGGUAUGGUUAGUGAUUGGGGUGACAGUCGUAACAAGGUAGUUAGUACGGAGGACCUGUGGCUGGAUCACCUCUUNAAUCCUAAGGCAUUCGCGAGACCGGC
rnacentral:rRNA from 1 species